CCAGUAGUAGUUCAGUGAUAGAAUUCUCACCUUCCAUGUAGAGGACCCAGGUUUGAUUCCUGGCCAAUGCA
rnacentral:tRNA from 1 species